rnacentral:rRNA from 1 species
UACGAGAGGCGCAAACGUUAUUCGGAAUUACUGGGCUUAAAGAGUUCGUAGGCGGCGCAGAAAGUAGGGUGUGAAAGCCCUCGGCUUAACCGAGGAAUUGCGCUCUAAACUACUGUGCUUGAGGAAGCUAGAGGUGAGCGGAACUGAUGGUGGAGCGGUGAAAUGCGUUGAUAUCAUCAGGAACACCGGAGGCGAAGGCGGCUCACUGGGGCUUAUCUGACGCUGAGGAACGAAAGCCAGGGGAGCGAACGGG